rnacentral:tRNA from 1 species
GGGGGUGCAGCUCAGUGGGAGAGUACCUGCUUGGGAUGCAGAAGGUCCUGCGUUCAAUCCCAGGCACCUCCA